rnacentral:rRNA from 1 species
UACGGGGGGGGCAAGCGUUGUUCGGAAUUACUGGGCGUAAAGGGCUCGUAGGCGGCCAACUAAGUCAGACGUGAAAUCCCUCGGCUUAACCGGGGAACUGCGUCUGAUACUGGAUGGCUUGAGGUUGGGAGAGGGAUGCGGAAUUCCAGGUGUAGCGGUGAAAUGCGUAGAUAUCUGGAGGAACACCGGUGGCGAAGGCGGCAUCCUGGACCAAUUCUGACGCUGAGGCGCGAAAGCUAGGGGAGCAAACAGG